rnacentral:rRNA from 1 species
ACGGGUGCGUAACGCGUAUGCAACCUACCUAUCACUGGGGGAUAGCCCGGGGAAACCCGGAUUAAUACCGCAUAAAACAGGGGCACCGCAUGGUGAUAUUUGUUAAAGAUUUAUUGGUGAUAGAUGGGCAUGCGUUCGAUUAGCUAGUUGGCGGGGUAACGGCCCACCAAGGCGACGAUCGAUAGGGGAGCUGAGAGGUUGAUCCCCCACACGGGCACUGAGAUACGGGCCCGACUCCUACGGGAGGCAGCAGUAGGGAAUAUUGGGCAAUGGAUGCAAGUCUGACCCAGCCAUGCCGCGUGCCGGAUGAAGGCCCUCAGGGUUGUAAACGGCUUUUAUUCGGGAAGAAGAGCAGGGAUGCGUCCUUGUGUGACGGUACCGAAUGAAUAAGCACCGGCUAACUCCGUGCCAGCAGCCGCGGUAAUACGGAGGGUGCGAGCGUUGUCCGGAUUUAUUGGGUUUAAAGGGUGCGUAGGUGGCUUUAUAAGUCAGUGGUGAAAUACAGCCGCUCAACGGUUGAGGUGCCAUUGAUACUGCAAAGCUUGAAAUAAUUGGAGGCUGCCGGAAUGGAUGGUGUAGCGGUGAAAUGCA